rfam:Pseudogymnoascus verrucosus strain TAMH 10579 unplaced genomic scaffold scaffold_59, whole genome shotgun sequence.
ACAUACGACCAUAGACUCAAGAGAACUGGGCAUCCCGUCCGCUCUGCCAUACAUAACCUUGAGAUCGGUGGAUUAGUAGUUGGGUGGGUGACCACCAGCGAAUACCCACUGUUGUAUGUC